rnacentral:other from 1 species
AAUUACCUGCCUUGUUCGUGAUGGAAAGGAAACUUAUUCCGACCAUAUUAAUUCGGGGAGCUGGAAUUAGGUAAGUGUUGAGCCCCUUCGGGGAAGCCUGAUCUUACUUUCAAGGCACCCACCUGAAAAACAGGGUUUAUAGUUUCAUUUCUACACGGCAAGGUGGGAAUCAA